rnacentral:rRNA from 1 species
AGCGUUAAUCGGAAUUACUGGGCGUAAAGCGUGCGCAGGCGGUUUUGUAAGUCUGUCGUGAAAUCCCCGGGCGCAACCUGGGAAUGGCGAUGGAGACUGCAAGGCUGGAAUCUGGCAGAGGGGGGUAGAAUUCCACGUGUAGCAGUGAAAUGCGUAGAGAUGUGGAGGAACACCGAUGGCGAAGGCAGCCCCCUGGGCUAAGAUUGACGCUCAUGCACGAAAGCGUGGGGAGCAAACAGG